GAUGAAGAACGUAGUGAAAUGCGAUAAUUAAUGUGAAUUGCAGAAUUCAGUGAAUCAUCGAAUCUUUGAACGCACAUUGCGCCCGCCAGUAUUCUGGCGGGCAUGCCUGUUCGAGCGUCAUUUCAACCAUCAAGCCCCCGGCUUGUGUUGGGGACCUGCGGCUGCCGCAGGCCCUGAAAAGCAGUGGCGGGCUCGCUGUCACACCGAGCGUAGUAGCAUACAUCUCGCUCUGGGCGUGCUGCGGGUUCCGGCCGUUAAACCACCUUCAUAACCCAAGGUUGACCUCGGAUCAGGUAGGAAGACCCGCUGAACUUAAGCAUAUCAAUAAGCGGAGGA
rnacentral:misc_RNA from 1 species